UACAGAGGGUGCAAGCGUUAAUCGGAAUUACUGGGCGUAAAGCGUGCGUAGACGGUCAUGUAAGUCGGGUGUGAAAGCCCCGGGCUCAACCUGGGAAUUGCAUUCGAGACUGCAUGGCUAGGAUGCGGAAGAGGGAAGCGGAAUUUCCGGUGUAGCGGUGAAAUGCGUAGAUAUCGGAAGGAACACCAGUGGCGAAAGCAGCUUCCUGGUCCAGCAUCGACGUUCAGGCACGAAAGCGUGGGGAGCAAACAGG
rnacentral:rRNA from 1 species